CACGGGUGAGUAACACGUAUCCAACCUGCCGUCUACUCUUGGACAGCCUUCUGAAAGGAAGAUUAAUACAAGAUGGCAUCAUGAGUCCGCAUGUUCACAUGAUUAAAGGUAUUCCGGUAGACGAUGGGGAUGCCUUCCAUUAGAUAGUAGGCGGGGUAACGGCCCACCUAGUCUUCGAUGGAUAGGGGUUCUGAGAGGAAGGUCCCCCACAUUGGAACUGAGACACGGUCCAA
rnacentral:rRNA from 1 species